CACUGCCCGUCAAGCCAUGGAAGCUGUUUCUACCUGAAUAGUAUGAGCUAACCGCAAGGAGGUAGUACUACACGGUAGGAAGAGUGACUGGGGCU
rnacentral:rRNA from 1 species